rnacentral:ncRNA from 1 species
GAGAGCCAAAUUUCGAUUCAUGUUUGGUUCGGGAAGGGAUCAUGGAAUUUUUUAAAUGAAUGGAAAGAUAAUCUACUUUCAU